rnacentral:lncRNA from 1 species
GAGCCAGUGUGCUCACACAGCACUGAGCAGGGCACUGCCAGUGCAAGGUGCUCCAUGUUCUUAGACUUUGAGAACCCUGUUGUGGGUGUCCUUCCUUUCUCUCUGCAUGGAGGGCUGUGUCCCACUCCCACAUGGGAGCCUUGUGGGGCCAUGGGAUGCUGGCAGCAGCCCUGCCUUCCCCGGGCUGCACCUGCCCAGUCAUGUCUGAGAGCACAGAGGGAAGAACUGCUCUUGCUAAAGAGGAGCUUGUCUGCUGGAAGAGCGCCCGCUCGCAGCAGGGAACAAAGUUUGUCAUCCUGAGACACCAGGCCUUUGACGAAGCGCAGGUAACCUAUGACAGUGCAUGUGGCACUAACAAAGAGCCCCUGUCAGCCUUUGUGGAAGACUUUGAGACUUCAGUCGGCGCUGACUUUCCAGAAGAUGAGGAGUGUGGUGGUGCAGUGCUGGGCUGUGAUUCCUCGGAUCCCUCAGUUGGUGGAGGAACAGAAGAAGCUCCGCAUGGAGAUGAAAAGAUGACAGAAGCAGCAGAAUCCCAGAAGUUGCGAUCGCACAGGCAGAUGAGGAUUAAAAAUGACCUUGCCUGGAGCGUGUUAGAAGAUUAAACAGCAGCUCUCAGUGCUCCAGGGAGCUAACAGUGGUGUCCAGCUCCUCAUUCAACAGUUCUGAAGAGAGUUCCUCCGUUUAACCCCAGGGUCUGCAAAACAAUCCUUUCGUUGACGAGGUUGGAAUUAGAAGGGAGGAAGAAAGCCGCAGUGCUCUCCUAAGCUCUGUCUGUUUCCAGAAGCAGAUGCCAGUCACUGGGGUUUGUGCAGAUGUUUCUGAUGACAUGGUCUCUGCUUGACUCUGCCUUGACAAGAUUCAGCUCAAGUCCCCGGGGAGUCAGGAUUGAUUUGUUUGGGGUCCUGUCUCCAAGAGGCUUGUAGUGACAUCUGAAUGUGUUUUCUUAAUUCAUAGAAAAUGACCAUGUUUUUACAGGUACAAGUUCUCUCGAUGUAACAGCUAGCCUCCCUGAAACUAUUUGUAUGGGGAGCCUGCGAGAUGAACAGAACUAAGUGUAGCUGUGUGAUACUUAUGUUCUGAGGCGUGCUCAUGCUGCCACACCAGAACGUGGGCAUUCUUUAUUCUGGGCAGCAGGGAUGCUCCAGCAUCAGCUUAGAGAUUUCUUAGUUAUUCAUCUCUGCCCACUUUUAGAGCAGAACUGUAUGGUAAAAUAACAAACUGUGCACAAAUGAAGUUGUUUCAAUACAUAAUCCAUUCAGUCAGCUGCUUUCCCUGCUUGGACCUGGAUGCUAACCUUGUCCUUACACUGUUGUAAGAGGUGGGUCUUGCUUUAAUUGCAACAAUUCUUAAUAGCAUUAGAACUGUAAUAAUAAAUACAUGCUAGCUACCUCUCCA